ensembl:lncRNA
AAUGCAGUCUGGAGGCAUGGUAAAUGUCCAGGUUUUGCUAGUGCAUGUAGGGUGUCGUUUGUUGAGCGCAUGAAUAAUGGAGGUUGUUUAAGAUGAAAUUGAAGUCUUUAGAAGAUGGACGCCUCUCUCCUGUGGUCUAAACCGAGGUGUAGUAGGAUCUAUGCUACUGAACUGUCUAGUCACAGCCCCUUCAAGGUCUGGAGAACUGGCUGCUCCCUCCCCCCUUGUGCAUACUUCCUGAGGUGGACUCUUAAAAUACUCAGGUGCUAUAUGGGUGGAUGCUGUGCUGGUGUGUGCAAACCAUGCUAUUUAGUAGCUGGAGAUGGUGGCACCAGAGGAGACUGCCCGGUUGAAAGCCUCCUCGUAUCUGGCGGGACAACUGACGAGGUGUCCCACUCCCAGUGAGCGGUUGGGAUUCAGGAAGCAUGGCCAAGAUAGGACACCUUGCAGCUAAACGGACCUGCUGGUGCCAGUCAAGCCUGGUUUGGAGAGGAGCCUAUGGGUGGGGUCUACAGAUGUGGGCGAGCAACACAGUAUGGAGGCCUCCAUGGGCCCUAACCUUGAGGAGUAGCUUCAGUACACAGGUGAGGGAGUGAAGCACAACCGGUCAAACUAUUGAGCAUUCAUUUCAUGUUCUUCCACUCAACCACAAACUGAAAGAACCUGCAGCCAAUAGUGUUAUUCAGUGCUCCCUAUGCUCUUGGUGUAAACCUAGGGUGGUGUAGUUGGAUCGAUGGUACUGAACUGUCUAGUCACAGCCGCUCUCGGUCGGGGUGUGAGGCAGGAACUAUGGAAUUAGGGGUGCUGAACUAAAAUUGGUAACCCUUAAUUUCGAUACUCCCAAAUAAGUUUGUAGAUGCUCAGAUCAAUUAACUCAACAUUUAUACGAUCCACUAACCCUAAACUUAACCCUCUGCCAUAUAGGCCUACUCGGAUGUGUUUAUGGGCCUGUUUGAGGUGUUUUGCUUUAGUCCUCAAGUCAUGGUUAUAUAUUGCGAUUGGGCUAGUAAGUUUAUUUUGCAAGUUUGUUCUAUUCCCAACUAUUUUCUGUCAACUGUAAAUGCA